rnacentral:rRNA from 1 species
ACGCUGACAGAAUGCUUAACACAUGCAAGUCUACUUGAACUUCGGUUUGGGUGGCGGACGGGUGAGUAACGCGUAAAGAACUUGCCUCACAGUUAGGGACAACAUUUGGAAACGAAUGCUUAUACCUGAUAUUAUGAUUUUAGGGCAUCCUAAGAUUAUGAAAGCUAUAUGCGCUGUGAGAGAGCUUUGCGUCCCAUUAGCUAGUUGGAGAGGUAACGGCUCACCAAGGCGAUGAUGGGUAGCCGGCCUGAGAGGGUGAACGGCCACAAGGGGACUGAGACACGGCCCUUACUCCUACGGGAGGCAGCAGUGGGGAAUAUUGGACAAUGGACCAAAAGUCUGAUCCAGCAAUUCUGUGUGCACGAUGACGUUUUUCGGAAUGUAAAGUGCUUUCAGUUGGGAAGAAAAAAAUGACGGUACCAACAGAAGAAGUGACGGCUAAAUACGUGCCAGCAGCCGCGGUAAUACGUAUGUCACAAGCGUUAUCCGGAUUUAUUGGGCGUAAAGCGCGUCUAGGUGGUUAUGUAAGUCUGAUGUGAAAAUGCAGGGCUCAACUCUGUAUUGCGUUGGAAACUGCAUGACUAGAGUACUGGAGAGGUAAGCGGAACUACAAGUGUAGAGGUGAAAUUCGUAGAUAUUUGUAGGAAUGCCGAUGGGGAAGCCAGCUUACUGGACAGAUACUGACGCUAAAGCGCGAAAGCGUGGGUAGCAAACAGGAUUAGAUACCCUGGUAGUCCACGCCGUAAACGAUGAUUACUAGGUGUUGGGGGUCGAACCUCAGCGCCCAAGCUAACGCGAUAAGUAAUCCGCCUGGGGAGUACGUACGCAAGUAUGAAACUCAAAGGAAUUGACGGGGACCCGCACAAGCGGUGGAGCAUGUGGUUUAAUUCGACGCAACGCGAGGAACCUU